rnacentral:misc_RNA from 1 species
AAUUGGAGUCCCUUUCUUGAGUUUCUUCCAUAUCCCAUUUUCUUACUUUCUUAAUUUUUAUAUUAUUAAUAUCCUUUUUCUUUCUUUGUUUAAAUUAAGAUCUUGUGUGUGUCUUUUUGGGCAUUAUGGGUGAGGCUGUUGAGAUUAUCUACACAAAUGGUUUCUCUAAACUUUGCACCCAACCCACUCCAAAUCAUGAUCAUUCUUCCUCCUGGUAUGAAGAAACCAUUGAUGAUGAUCUCAAAUGGUCUUUUGCUUUGAACAGGUUUGUUUUCAUUCAUUUUAUACCACACCUCCUCUCCCUGUCUGAAAAAAUAAUGCAGCAUAUUGCAUUUUUUAUUUAUUCAAUUAAAGUUUGAACUCGAAAUUUUACCAUCUUGAAAAAGAUUUUAAUAUUAUUAAAUUAAAAUUCAUUGAUAUAUUAGUAAGUAAAUAAUUUUUAUUUGAAUUCGAUUUAUAUGGAUUAAAUUAUAAAUAAUAAUAAAAAAAGGUCAACAGUGUUCUACACAAGGGAACAAGUGAGUUUCAAGACAUUGCUCUCCUGGACACAAAGCGCUUUGGCAAGGUCUGCAACUGUUUCCACUAUCUUGUACAGAUGAUUUUAUUAAAAUUAUUUUAAUUUGUCACUAUUAAUUAAAUAUUUGUUAAAAAAAGUUAAAAGAAAAUUGUAUUUUUGAGAUUAAUAUUGUUGCACAGGUGUUGGUGAUUGAUGGGAAGAUGCAGAGUGCCGAAGUGGAUGAAUUCAUAUAUCAUGAAUGCUUAAUCCAUCCAGCUUUCCUGUGCCACCCUCUGUGAGUCUCUGCCUUUUUUAACAGUCACUUCAUCCACUAUAUAUAGUGCAAUCCCUUUAUCCUAUUUUUAAUUAGAUUAUGUUAAUAAAUUUUAAAAGAUGAAAUUAAUCCAUAAUAUUAUUUUUCUCUUGGAGAAGAAAAAAAAUAAAUCGUUGUGUUUAUCUAACGCGGGGUAAUAAUUUAACGCAGCCCUCGGAAUGCGUUCAUAAUGGGAGGUGGGGAAGGUUCAGCUGCAAGGGAAGCCCUCAAGCACAAGUCCAUAGAGAAAGUGGUCAUGUGUGAUAUUGAUCAGGAAGUGGUGAAUUUCUGCCGCGCAUAUCUGACUGUAAAUCAAGAUGCAUUUUGCAACAAGAAGCUUAAUUUAGUCAUUAAUGAUGCCAAGUAAAUUUUAGUUUCUAAUUUCCUAUUUUUUGACAAGGCUUUUUGUUAAUAAUCACGUGAAGCUGAAUGGGUUAAAUUUUAUUGAUUUUGCUGUUGGAGGGCUGAGUUGGAGAAGAGGACUGACAAAUUUGAUAUCAUAAUUGGAGACUUGGCUGACCCAGUUGAAGGAGGGCCUUGCUACCAGCUCUACACUAAAUCUUUCUAUGAGCAAAUUCUCAAGCCUAAGCUCAAUGAUAAUGGCAUCUUUGUUACUCAGGUAGGAACCCAUGUUUCUGGUGGACUAAAAAUGGACUAUUCUUUAACCCUAAAUGUCAAAGAACUGUGUUUCGUUGUGCAGGCUGGACCUGCAGGCAUUUUCACCCACAAGGAGGUCUUCUCCUCUAUUUACAACACAAUUAAACAGGUCUUCAAAUGUAAGUAUCUAAUUAAAGGGUGCUUAAUUAAGUAAUUAUUAUGUAUCAAAAGUAUUCAUAAUCUCCUCUUUUACAUGGGCAGAUGUGGUAGCUUACAGUGCUCAUGUGCCAUCCUUUGCUGAUACAUGGGGAUGGGUCAUGGUACCUAAAAUGCAAAUUGAUAAUUUCUAUAGAGUUCAUUUAUCAAUGAUUAUUUUUUUUUAUUUAAUAUUAUAUGUUUGUGUAAUUAAUGUAGGCCUCAGAUCAACCCUUCUCUACAGAUGCUGAGGAGAUAGACAGGAGGAUUGAAGAAAGAAUUGAGGGUGAAUUACUUUAUUUGAAUGGUGCUGCAUUUCUCUCCUCUGCCACCUUGAACAAGACUGUUUCUCUGUCGCUGUUGACUGAAACUCAUGUCUACACCGAGGAUGAUGCAAGAUUUAUUCCUGGGCAUGGACUGGCUUACAGAAAUUGAGGCUUCAACUCCAAGCCUGUGGGACUGGAGAGGGGGGGAGGUGGGAAUUUCUGUAUAGAGAAAAAAUAUAUUUACGUGUUUCAAAUGUCUCCAAAGAAAUCAAACAAUUGUUGAAAGUGCUUGCCUUUUGAGAUUACAUAUUAUUGUAGCUUCAUUGGGAUGUUUAUAGGACUCGAUAUCUCAAAACCAUGUGAAAGCUUUGUCUAAAUUUUAAUCAUUUAUGAGGCAUUCCUCCAUUCAGAUAAAUGUUGAAUUAUUUUCAUGGAUUAGUGCAGGUAUCUCUUCAACAUAAUACAUAUGAACUAAAACAUUUUUUCCCAACUUGCAUAAGCUAAAAGGUUGCAGAGUACUAGACAUUAUAAUCUGGCAAGAAGAAACUUUCAAGUUUCUCUAUAUGUUCAGCUUCUCUUAACAGGAUCAAAGUUGGCAACCGCAAUAACAGCUCCAACGAGGAUACCAACUACAAGCCCACCAGCUACUAUGCUUAGCAAGAAGUUCUUGAGAGAUGG